GACGAACGCUGGCGGCGUGCUUAACACAUGCAAGUCGAACGGAAAGGCCCUGCUUUUGUGGGGUGCUCGAGUGGCGAACGGGUGAGUAACACGUGAGUAACCUGCCCUUGACUUUGGGAUAACUUCAGGAAACUGGGGCUAAUACCGGAUAGGAGCUCCUGCUGCAUGGUGGGGGUUGGAAAGUUUCGGCGGUUGGGGAUGGACUCGCGGCUUAUCAGCUUGUUGGUGGGGUAGUGGCUUACCAAGGCUUUGACGGGUAGCCGGCCUGAGAGGGUGACCGGCCACAUUGGGACUGAGAUACGGCCCAGACUCCUACGGGAGGCAGCAGUGGGGAAUAUUGCACAAUGGGCGGAAGCCUGAUGCAGCAACGCCGCGUGCGGGAUGACGGCCUUCGGGUUGAAAACCGCUUUCGCCUGUGACGAAGCGUGAGUGACGGUAAUGGGUAAAGAAGCACCGGCUGACUACGUG
rnacentral:rRNA from 1 species